rnacentral:rRNA from 1 species
GACGAACGCUGGCGGCGUGCUUAACACAUGCAAGUCGAACGGAAAGGCCCUGCUUUUGUGGGGUGCUCGAGUGGCGAACGGGUGAGUAACACGUGAGUAACCUGCCCUUGACUUUGGGAUAACUUCAGGAAACUGGGGCUAAUACCGGAUAGGAGCUCCUGCUGCAUGGUGGGGGUUGGAAAGUUUCGGCGGUUGGGGAUGGACUCGCGGCUUAUCAGCUUGUUGGUGGGGUAGUGGCUUACCAAGGCUUUGACGGGUAGCCGGCCUGAGAGGGUGACCGGCCACAUUGGGACUGAGAUACGGCCCAGACGCCUACGGGAGGCAGCAGUGGGGAAUAUUGCACAAUGGGCGGAAGCCUGAUGCAGAAACGCCGCGUGCGGGAUGGCGGCCUUCGGGUUGUAAACCGCUUUCGCCUGUGACGAAGCGUGAGUGACGGUAAUGGGUAAAGAAGCACCGGCUAACUACGUG